AACGUAGGUGGCGAGCGUUAUCCGGAUUUACUGGGCGUAAAGGGUGUGCAGGCUGCCCCUCAAGUGGUGUAUGAAAGCACCCGGCUCAACCGGGUCAUGGUAUGCCAGGCUGAAGGGCUAGAGAGCGAGAGCGGGACGUGGAAUUCCGGGUGUAGUGGUGAAAUGCGUAGAGAUCCGGAGGAACCCCAGAGGCGAAGGCGGCGUCCUGGCUCGCAUCUGACGCUCAGACACGACAGCAUGGGGAGCGAACGGG
rnacentral:rRNA from 1 species